rnacentral:lncRNA from 10 species
GACAGUUUUAAAAAUGGGAGUUUUCCUGCACAAGCUCUCUCUCUUUGCCUACUGCCAUCCAGGAAGACGUGACUUGCUUCUUCUUGCCUUCCACUAUGAUUGUGGGAAGGCCUCCCCAGUCAUGUGGAACUGUGCUGUGUGAAGAAUGGAAACAUGCAACAAUAAAGACACCAGUCCUGGUGGACCUGAUGGCCUAUGUCUGGUGUGGCGGGGGACAGAUAAGUAAACAGAUCGUCCUAUACGGGGUAGCCAACGCUAUCAUCUGAUAGAAGUAAUGUAUUAGUCUGUUCUCAUGCUGCUGUAAAGAACUACCCAAGACUGGGUAAUUUAUAAAGAAAAGAGGUUUGAUUGACUCACAGUUCCACAGGCUGUACAGGAGGCAUGGCUUGGGAAGCCUCGAGAAAUUUACAAUCAUGGCGGAAGGCAAAGGGGAAGCCAGCAUGUCUCACAUGGCAGGAGCAGGAGGAAUAGAGAGCAGGAGGAGGUGCUACACAUUUCAAAAAGCCAGAUCUCAUGAGAACUCACUCACUAUCAUGAGAACAGCAAGGGGGAAGUCCGCCCCCAUGAUCCAGUCACCUCCCACCAGACCCCUCCUCCAACACUGGGAUUACAAUUUGACAUGUGAUUUGGGUGGGGACACAGGGUCAAACCAUAUCAGGUAACAAAACUCCAGUCUCAAAAAUGGUAAGUCAAUUUUAUUGCUAUUAUAAUUCUUAAAACUGGUGUUGAUGAUGAUGAUGAUAGCAGUUAUUUGUACAGUAACAUGCCCAAGACAAAUCCCAAGAGAGGAACAUAAACAAAAUCAAGUGGGGAGAUUUGACUUUGCCCAAGUUCUUCUCAACUAGAAAUUUCUAAAGGUGUUUUGUGUGGAGUGCUGCGCUAUGUGCAGUUUUCAGCUAUUCAACCUCAAGGAUGUCAAAUUGUUGGAAGAGAUUCAAAGAAGGAUAAUCAAACUUGGAUGGAGCUGACUUAAAGAAAUGGGCUAACCUCCAGAAAGAAUGCCAUUGAAUCCAGAGAGAGGUGCCGUUGAAUCAGCCCUUGCUGAUGAAGCCUCUUCACUGUACUGCUCAGACCUCUCCAUCCUGGUGGCAAGGGCUUAGACCAUUAUUCAUGGUCUGACUGGCCUCGAGGUGGCUGUCUCGCCUUUGAAAAAGGGCAGACACAGAGCAUGUUCAGAGCACGGAGCCAUACUGUGCGAUUUCUUCAAAGAGAGCUUAACCACAGGUUUGUCACAGACUCCUCUUGCUCCUUCCUUCCAAUUUAGUCCUUAAAUGUGGUCCAACUACAACAAGAGGGAAGUCUCACAAUCUAGAAUAUUGGGGGUUUUGUCACUAUUCAUUUUUAUUAAUAGAAAACAAACCUUUAUUCCAAAUUUGUUAUACUUGAAAUUGCUAAUUUAAAAAAAUGAAUUUAGGGCUGAGGUGGGAGGAUCAUUUGAGGCCAGGAGUUCGAGACCAGUCUGGACAACAUAGUGAGACCCUGUCUCUAAAAACACUGGAAAAACAGUUAGCUGGGUAUGGUGGCAGGUGCCUGUAGUCCCAGCUACUCAGGAGGCUGAGGCAGGAGGAUCACUUGAGCCUAGGAGUUGAAGGCUGCAGUGAGCUAUGAUAGUGCCUCUGCACUCCAGCCUGGGUGACAGAGCAAGAAACUGUCUCCAAAACAAAUAUAUUGAAUUGAAAAUAAUCACGUAAUAAUCUUGCUUUGACUAAGACAAUGAAACUGUGGCUUUUAAAAAAAAAGUAUUUUAGCACCAUAUGCUCAUUUGUCUUUCAGAAUUUGGAUUAAUGAAUGACGUAACUGCUUCAGGGCAACACACCCUCACUGCAGCUGCUUAGCCCAGGAAGCAGCAAGGUCAAUACAAGGAGAGCCACAGGCCUGGGGAGAUGCAUGCCUUCCUUCCUGGCCACGUGGAUCUCACUACUUAGCCCAGAUGGCCUGCGAGAAGGACAAAGCCAAGCACUUCACAACACUGUCAGUUGCUGUCCUGAAGAAGGUGGCCAGGAGCUCUAGAAGGAUUCAAAGCCCCAGGGAUUUUUGGUUUUUAUGUAUACACUUCUCUUUACAUACUUGUUCCUCAACAUCCAAUCAGCCUUGCAGGUUUGUCCCCGCUCCUAGCAUUCAGAAACACUCAAGAGCAGGGUGGGUCAGAGCUCUCCACCACAUACGCAGCAGAGUGAAAGAAGCUGCCCUGCAGGACAGCUCCAGGCUCAUGGCCACCCCUCCUCACAUGCAUACCUCCUCCUCUUCCACCAAACAACAACAAACUCCUUCAUGUAGCAUUCACGCCCUCCUCUUGUGGCCUCUACCUGCCAUCCCACACCAAUCCCUUUUUAUGUCCCCACAGGUACCCAGGAGUCUCCCCUAACUAAAUUCCCCACUGCUUCUCCAAAUCACCCCAAUCCUACUUCCCACUGAAACUAACAAGAAGGGAAGGAAGGUGUUAACAAAUGAAGUCUUCGAAGGAAGUCACCCCAAGAAUCUGGGCCUACUAGUCAUUCCCUAAGGCUCAGCUCUUGGCAUUUGCUUCGUUCCCUGGGCCAUUAUUUUCAUACUGUGAAGAAAUUUCACCCUAGUCCCAUUUUGGAGAGCAAGUGUUGGUACAGUGCUGGGUAAAGACCCUGACACCAGGUCCUGGUCCCUGGCCCAGAGCAGGGGAUAUGAAGGGAAGCCCCACUCACUGUGUGCUCCCUCACUGACUCCUCAAAGGAAUUCCAGGAAGGGUGCUUUAGUGACCCUUUGGCUCACAGAGUUAGAGUGACCUGCCCAAGGCCACCCAGAGAAUGAAUGGUGGGACUGAGAUCACACCUGGGCCUGCCUGGCUGCCAAGCCUUUUGCUAUUUUCAUUAUUCCACAUUUCUUUCCAAGGAUACAGAAAGCAGGGAUAGGAAGUGCUGUGGAAACAAGCAAAAAGCCUUAUCCAUAGUCAGCAUCCAAAAAGUACUAUACCUUCUCUGACCCCUGCUUUAUUUAUUUGUUUAUUUUCAGGGAUGAUGUAAUAGCCAGAAAAAUAAGUGAACAGAAGAUUCCGGGUUCUACUUUAUGCCAAUUUUUCUUAAAUAUCUCAGUCACUAGAAAAAGAUCUAUUUGAAAAUCUUGCUCUGAGCAGUUUCUGUCUUGGGCCCAGUUGUUUGAGGAGCCUGUUGAAUUUUUAAAUUUAUUAGUGUUCCCAUGCUUCAUUCAUUGGCAUAUAUGUAUAUUCUCUAUACUUUAUAAUUACAAGUAAGCUCUUGAUAAUAAAAAGUAACUGUCAUUCUGUGAAGCUCUUUAAUGCAGCCAAAGAUAAUUUCAGGGGGCAAUUGGCAGUCUAAGUCCUUGCUUUCUCUCAUUUUAAAGGAGAACCAAAUCAACUUAGAGUGAAUUUGUUCAAAUGUGGGUAAGAUUUAACAGGCACUUCAGCUGCCCAGGGUACUUUUCCAUGUCUCUCCAACCAACCCCACCCAAAUAGCUUAGGAUUGGCAUUUUCUGAUGAGCACAGGGAUAGAGAAUGAGAACGGAGUCAGGUCCUCAGGUAUUCAAGGUUAGAAUUCCUUCUUAACCUUGCCCACUAUGCCCUAUGUGGGGACAUGCUACAGCAGAGAUCACUUGAGAAUUAUCCUGUGGCUCACACUGCCAUAAUUAGUUAUCUGUUCGGCACCUCUCAACUAAUCAGAACAAUGGCACAUCCAAAAGUAAAAGGAGAAGAAAGGAGACAAGAAUACAGCGACUGAAUAAUAAAA